UAGAAGUGAGAAUGCCGGUAUGAGUAGCGAAAGACAGGUGAGAAUCCUGUCCACCGAAUGACUAAGGUUUCCUGGGGAAGGCUCGUCCUCCCAGGGUAAGUCGGGACCUAAGCCGAGGCCGAAAGGCGUAAGCGAUGGCUAACAGGUUGAGAUUCCUGUACCAGUUGAAUGCGUUUGAAUGAAGGAGGGACGCAGGAGGCUAAGCGAACCGCACGAUUGGAAGAGUGCGGCCAAGCAGUAAGUCAGUAACUGAGUCAAAUGCUUAGUUGCGAGUUGACAAGCUGUGAUGGGGAGUGAAAUUAAAGUAACGAAGUCGCCGAUGUCACACUGCCGAGAAAAGCUUCUAGUGAGUAUUCAACUGCCCGUACCGCAAACCGACACAGGUAGUCGAGGAGAGAAUCCUAAGGUGAGCGAGAGAACUCUCGUUAAGGAACUCGGCAAAAUGACCCCGUAACUUCGGAAGAAGGGGUGCUGGUCGCAAGGCCAGCCGCAGUGAAAAGGCCCAGGCGACUGUUUAUCAAAAACACAGGUUUCUGCAAAAUCGUAAGAUGAAGUAUAGGGGCUGACGCCUGCCCGGUGCUGGAAGGUUAAAAGGAAGGGUUAGCUUCGGCGAAGCUCUGAAUUGAAGCCCCAGUAAACGGCGGCCGUAACUAUAACGGUCCUAAGGUAGCGAAAUUCCUUGUCGGGUAAGUUCCGACCCGCACGAAAGGCGUAACGAUCUGGGCACUGUCUCAACGAGAGACUCGGUGAAAUUGAAAUCCCUGUGAAGAUGCAGGGUACCCGCGACAGGACGGAAAGACCCCAUGGAGCUUUACUGUAGCUUGAUAUUGAGUGUUUGUACUGCUUGUACAGGAUAGGUAGGAGCCGUAGAAAGCGGAACGCUAGUUUCGCUGGAGGCGCUGGUGGGAUACUACCCUUGCAUUAUGACCACUCUAACCCGCAGCACUGAACGUGCUGGGAGACAGUGUCAGGUGGGCAGUUUGACUGGGGCGGUCGCCUCCCAAAAGGUAACGGAGGCGCCCAAAGGUUCGCUCAGAAUGGUUGGAAAUCAUUCGGAGAGUGUAAAGGCACAAGCGAGCUUGACUGCGAGACAGACAGGUCGAGCAGGGACGAAAGUCGGGCUUAGUGAUCCGGUGGUUCCGCAUGGAAGGGCCAUCGCUCAACGGAUAAAAGCU
rnacentral:rRNA from 1 species